rnacentral:rRNA from 1 species
UACAGAGGUCCCAAGCGUUGUUCGGAUUCAUUGGGCGUAAAGGGUGCGUAGGCGGCGCGGUAAGUCGGGUGUGAAAUCUCGGGGCUUAACUCCGAAACUGCAUUCGAUACUGCCGUGCUUGAGGACUGGAGAGGAGACUGGAAUUUACGGUGUAGCGGUGAAAUGCGUAGAUAUCGUAAGGAAGACCAGUGGCGAAGGCGGGGCUCUGGACAGUGCCUGACGCUGAGGCACGAAGGCCAGGGGAGCAAACGGG